rnacentral:rRNA from 1 species
CCUACGGGAGGCAGCAGUGAGGAAUAUUGGUCAAUGGGCGGAAGCCUGAACCAGCCAAGUAGCGUGCAGGAUGACGGCCCUACGGGUUGUAAACUGCUUUUAUACGGGAAUAACGCGCCUUACGUGUAGGGCUUUGCAUGUACCGUAUGAAUAAGGACCGGCUAAUUCCAUGCCAGCAGCCGCGGUAAUACGGAAGGUCCGGGCGUUAUCCGGAUUUAUUGGGUUUAAAGGGAGCGUAGGCCGCAUGUCAAGCGUGCUGUGAAAUGUCCGGGCUCAACCCGGGCCUUGCAGCGCGAACUGGCGUACUUGAGUCCGCGGAAAGCAGGCGGAAUUCGUCGUGUAGCGGUGAAAUGCUUAGAUAUGACGAAGAACCCCGAUUGCGAAGGCAGCUUGCUGCAGCGGAACUGACGCUGAUGCUCGAAAGCGCGGGUAUCGAACAGGAUUAGAUACCCGAGUAGUC